AAUCAACGCUGGCGGCGUGCCUCAGACAUGCAAGUCGAACGCGAAAGUCCCCCUCGGGGGACAAGUAGAGUGGCGCACGGGUGAGUAACACGUAGGUAAUCUACCUUCGGGUGGGGAAUAACAAUCGGAAACGGUUGCUAAUACCGCAUAAUGCAGCGGCACCUAAUGGUGACAGUUGUUUAAAGCGGGGGAGUCGCAAGAUCUCGCGCCUGAAGAGGAGCCUGCGGCGGAUUAGCUAGUUGGUAGGGUAAUGGCCUACCAAGGCGACGAUCCGUAGCCGGCCUGAGAGGGCGGUCGGGCCACACUGACACUGACAUACGGGUCAGACUCCUACGGGAGGCAGCAGUCGGGAAUUUUGGGCAAUGGGCGAAAGCCUGACCCAGCAACGCCGCGUGAAGGAUAG
rnacentral:rRNA from 1 species